UAUUCCAAUGGUUCAUUUUUGUGUACCGUGGCCUCAAGGAAUGUGGCCUUUGAUCC
ensembl:misc_RNA